rfam:Dendroctonus ponderosae Seq01028957, whole genome shotgun sequence.
UUUCGGCCCUAUCGAAGCCGGGGGAUGACUUAAUGCCAUGUCAGCCCUUGGUCAAAAUGCGGCCUAUAAAAAUGUUCUCUUUAAGGUCACUGGCUAUCUGAGUUUUGUAGAUAUUUCAGUAUCACCCAAAGAGAAGACACCU